GCCUUGUAAUCGGAAGGUUGCCGGUUCGAGCCCCGGCUCGGACAGUCUCGGUCGUUGUGUCCUUGGGCAAGACAUUCACCUACCGCCUACUGGUGUUGGCCAGAAGGGCCGAUGGCGCGAUAUGGCAGCCUCGCCUCUGUCAGUCUGCCCCAGGGCAGCUGUGGCUACAGCUGUAGCUUGCCUUCACCAGUGUGUGACUGGGUGGAUGACUGGGUGUGUAAAGCGCUUUGGGGUCCUUAGGGGGACUAGUAAAAGCGCUAUACAAAUACAGGCCAUUUACCAUUUUAAUGUUUACAAAUUAUCACAGGUGAUUACAGCCAAGGAGGAAUAUGUGCCCAACUUUCACUUAAACUAAUAUAAGGAUAUAUAAAGGCUCUGUUAACAUUAUGAAGCAAGUCAUGCUGACCUUCUUUCCUUUGUUCAGUGCAUCAUGCGUUGUCUACAACACCAGGUGAAAGUGAGGCCAAGCAUCAGGAAACAGAGAGCUGCAUUCAAGAGAGUGAAAAUGAGGGACAGGCAGAGGGACAGCAGAUGUUUCCAUAUAAUGUGGCAGAAUUUGUGUAAGCUGUUGUCUAGGGGUUAAAGAAAUCCUUCAUUUUAGAUGUUGUUUAGGAUAUUGUUUUGAUGCAAGUUUCCAAUUUGCAUGUUUGGGGUUUUUUUUGCUGAAUGACUGCAACUUUAGGAUUUACAUUUAAUUUUUUUUUUUUUUAAUGAUGUAGUGUGAGAAAUUCUUCAAGGCUGACAUGUUUUAUGAUUUCUAAUAUCUCUUAUCUACUUAGCCCUAUUUUUCUGGAGGAAGAUGACGCUCUUGAAGAGGCAAUUCAGCGUAGCCUCCUAGAAGAGUCUGAUAGACAGAGUGAAGUUCAUAUUUCAAGGUAAGAUUUGAAAGUAACCUUUGAUAAUUGAAUAUUUUAUUUGCAUCUUUACUUGCAUCAUUUUUUUGCAGUUACACAAUUACAAAGGUAAUUGCUCAUUUCUGACUAAUUUAAUAUGGACUAUCACAACAUAAUUAUAUGUUGUAACUCUGUGCACUUGAGUCAAAUGUACAGCAAAUUUCCAUUUUUCCCCAAGAUCUGUUUGUCAUUGUCCCUUUUUUAUAUAGGUCUUUUAAGAAGCUCAGCAAAGAAGAAAUUGAAGGUCUUCUUAGAGCUCAUAGUGAGAAAGUCAUUACACCAGGAACAAGACAACUCCAUAUCAGUCGAGCCAAUGUGUGGUCGACUGCUUUGCGUCAGUUCAAGAGACCCAAGUUUGCAGAAAGCUGUGAGAUGCUUUAUGUCACAUUUGCAAGCGAUGAACAGGAUACAGAGGAAGAUGCUGCUGACCU
ensembl:lncRNA